AACGAGUUCUCGUUGAUGAUCGGUGCUUGCACCGAGAUUCAACAUGAAACGAGUGGCGGACGGGUGAGUAACACGUGGGUAACCUGCCCUUAAGUGGGGGAUAACAUUUGGAAACAGAUGCUAAUACCGCAUAGAUCCAAGAACCGCAUGGUUCUUGGCUGAAAGAUGGCGUAAGCUAUCGCUUUUGGAUGGACCCGCGGCGUAUUAGCUAGUUGGUGAGGUAAUGGCUCACCAAGGCGAUGAUACGUAGCCGAACUGAGAGGUUGAUCGGCCACAUUGGGACUGAGACACGGCCCAAACUCCUACGGGAGGCAGCAGUAGGGAAUCUUCCACAAUGGACGCAAGUCUGAUGGAGCAACGCCGCGUGAGUGAAGAAGGCUUUCGGGUCGUAAAACUCUGUUGUUGGAGAAGAAUGGUCGGCAGAGUAACUGUUGUCGGCGUGACGGUAUCCAACCAGAAAGCCACGGCUAACUACGUGCCAGCAGCCGCGGUAAUACGUAGGUGGCAAGCGUUAUCCGGAUUUAUUGGGCGUAAAGCGAGCGCAGGCGGUUUUUUAAGUCUGAUGUGAAAGCCCUCGGCUUAACCGAGGAAGCGCAUCGGAAACUGGGAAACUUGAGUGCAGAAGAGGACAGUGGAACUCCAUGUGUAGCGGUGAAAUGCGUAGAUAUAUGGAAGAACACCAGUGGCGAAGGCGGCUGUCUGGUCUGUAACUGACGCUGAGGCUCGAAAGCAUGGGUAGCGAACAGGAUUAGAUACCCUGGUAGUCCAUGCCGUAAACGAUGAAUGCUAGGUGUUGGAGGGUUUCCGCCCUUCAGUGCCGCAGCUAACGCAUUAAGCAUUCCGCCUGGGGAGUACGACCGCAAGGUUGAAACUCAAAGGAAUUGACGGGGGCCCGCACAAGCGGUGGAGCAUGUGGUUUAAUUCGAAGCAACGCGAAGAACCUUACCAGGUCUUGACAUCUUUUGAUCACCUGAGAGAUCAGGUUUCCCCUUCGGGGGCAAAAUGACAGGUGGUGCAUGGUUGUCGUCAGCUCGUGUCGUGAGAUGUUGGGUUAAGUCCCGCAACGAGCGCAACCCUUAUGACUAGUUGCCAGCAUUUAGUUGGGCACUCUAGUAAGACUGCCGGUGACAAACCGGAGGAAGGUGGGGAUGACGUCAAAUCAUCAUGCCCCUUAUGACCUG
rnacentral:rRNA from 1 species